GGAUGUGAGGGCGAUCUGGCUGUGACAUCUGUCACCCCAUUGAUUGCCAGGGUUGUUGAUUCGGCUGAUCUGGCUGGCUAGGCAGGUGUCCCCUUCCUCCCUCACAGCUCCAUGUGUGUUCCUCCCGAAGCUGCGCACUCGGUCGAAGAGGACAACCUUCCCCGAAUAGAGGAGGACCGGUCUUCAGUCAAGGGUAUACAAGUAGCUGCAAUCCCCUGCUAGAACCUCUAAAUAAGCUCUCAAGAAUAUAGUCUAGGGGCUGGAGAGAUGGUUUAGCAGUUAAGACGUUUGCCUGCAAAGCCAAAAGAUCCUGAUU
rnacentral:snRNA from 1 species